rnacentral:rRNA from 1 species
AUUAAGCCAUGCAUGUUUCCGCAAUCAGGGACGAAUAGCUCAGUAAAACUGCGAUGAUUUAGUCUGGCUGUGUAGAUAACUACGUGAAAAUGUAGCUAAGGGAAGGCAGAAUAAGACGCAGGACUAUCAGUUAGUUGGUAGUGUAAUGGACUACCAAGACAGUGACGGUUGACGGGAAAUUAGGGUUUUGUACCGGAGAGGGAGCCUGAGAGAUUGCUCCCACGUCCAAGGACGGCAGCAGGCGCGAAAAUUGCCCACUCUUUGCAGGAGGCAGUUAUGAGACGUGAAGAUGAGUAUCUUGUAAAGAGGGAUAGGAGAAUUGGAGGGCAAGUUUGGUGCCAGCAGCCGCGGUAAUACCGACUCCAAGAGUGUGUAUGAGAGAUGCUGCAGUUAAAAAGUCCGUAGUCAUAGAAGGGCAAAGAGAGACGCGAGGUCUCACAGUGCGAUGAUGGAGGAGCCGAUGGGGAACAUAGUAUACCAGGGCGAGAGAUGAAAUGCCAAGACCCCUGGUGG